GCAUAAUCAUUUGCCCGUUAAUUGCGGGCUAGUAUGAACGGGUAAACGAAAUAGAACCUAUCUCAAUUAAACUAAUAAAAAUUAGCCUCUAGAUGAAGAGAUCUAAAUAAAAUUGAAGGACAAGAAGACCCUAUAGAGCUUUACUUUAUUUAGUUAUUUAAUUAACUUUAACAGUUCGGUUGGGGCGACCUAGGAAACACAUAUCAUCCUAUACUAUCAAGAUUUACAUAUCAUUAUAUCUGACCCUAUUAUAGAUCAAAGGAAUAAGCUACCUUAGGGAUAACAGGCUAAUCCUCCCAUAGAGACCUUAUCAACAGGAGGGAUUGGCACCUC
rnacentral:rRNA from 1 species